CCUCACAAACGCCAAAGGACCCACCUGUGCUUCAUCACAGUAAUUACUGCUGUUAUUCCACCAUUUCCUGAGAGUUCACAGCAGAGUCAGGCGUCACCGAUGACGAAACAUGCUCUGGAGAGGAUAUCGCUGGUGGAUGCUGUUUCCGAGUGUCCCAGAGUGGCUUCCACAAACCUAGACAAGGCAGGAUGUGCUGCCAUCUAUCCCCUCUUGGAUCGUCUGUAGCACACGACUGAAUGUGGAAAUUGUGGACACCCUAAUGAAAACCAGAAACUUUACCCAGAUGCGGCCACCCUAAGCAAGCUUUUAAGGUCGUGUUCGCUCUCGGCAAAAUUUCUUUGGUUCCCUAGCCACCUGGGUCUUCUUAGCCACUGACAGUUCCCAUGCCACCGCUGAGGCCUGGCCGGAAGACAGCCUAGAAUGGAGAUCAGAAAUCCAGGGCUUGCGCUAAAGAAUGUGGCGAACUUGGAUAAACUGGAGAGAUGCGACAGGAGGGUGUAAAGUGGACUCAGGGGUGUUAUAAAGUCGUUUUGCGUUGGAUUCUUACUACCCGUGAGUGUUGCAGAGAAGGUCGGCACAGCUCCGGACCUCACAAGGCUGGCUCUCCCUCCAAGGUGACGCGCAUAAAUGGAAUCGGUGAGCCUGCGGCUCGGGAACGGAUCCUGAGGAUUGGACAUUCUGACUACAGCCUAUUCCAGCAACUUCUUCCAGAACAGCGAGGCGGUUCAACACUCUCCUAGUUCACGUGAUUCAAGACCCCUGGCUCCGGCUCCGCUCUAGAAAUGUUUUCGAUUGGUCAGUCCCAGCUCCUCACCAGGAGGUGAAUCUGCAGAGGACACGUGGCCCGUUUUGACCAACAAGAUAGGUGGAUUCUGGUGAGCCGGGAAAACAGCGGCUGGUAGCCACCUAGCCCUACCUCCAUCUUGCUGACUGAGGUGAAGCCAAUGUGGGCAACCAAGUUCAGGAGAGGCGAGGGGCGUGGCUAAUAGCAGUGACAGCACCAGAUCCAGCUAGGAGUACCAAAACAGUGGGCUAGAGAAUAGAUGGCUUGUAAAACUGAAAAUAUUUACUCUCUAGCCCUUAAUCUGAGAAGAUGCCCACCUGCCCUUCCUUCCUCUCUUUCUCUCUUUCUUUCUUAUUCUAAUUGGGACUCUCAGUGAGCCUGAGGCUAGACUGGCACCAGGGACAAGUCCCUGGCAUCCUCCUAUCUCCCCUUCUUCACUCUGGGAUCACACAUGCGUGCCACUAUGCCCAGGUUAUUCCAGGGGCUAGGGAUCUGAACUUGGGUCCUCAGGCACGUGCAGCUAAUACUUUUCCCACUGAGCCAUCUUGCGGGCCCCUCCACUUAGCUUGCUGCACUGUUUUUCUUCUUAUUGGUCUGGUCCUGGAGGUCGGACCCAGGGCCUCAUGCAUGGCCUCUGAGUACCUACCUCCUUCCCACUUUUUACUUUGAGACACAGUCUCGCCAAGUUACACGGGCCUUCUUGAACUCGUGCACGAUCAUCAGCCUCCUGGGGCUGGGAUGAGCUGCUCCUGUCUCCAGGUCUAACGGGGUGUACCUACAUCAUGCUCUUCUUCAUUCAUUCAGGGGCCCAGAGAGGGUAAGUAACUUCUUCAGUGUCACUCAGCUAGUAGGAAUUAGUUGAGAUUCGGUCUCCAUAACUAAUAUGACUGCUUUGGGACAGACAGAUCCUCCGUUCUCAAUGCCAUUGUUGAGCCCUGGGGUCAAGCAGCCCUAUACUUGACUUACUUGUAGGCAUGCAAACUUAAGAUGCAUUCAGCAUUGAUCAUUAUCGAAGCUACCUGGGUCCUGCACUUCUGUCUGUCUGUCUGUCUUAUCAGUGUUCUAGCUGAUGGCAGGAGAAGGCAUUGUUAAUGGGGUUAUUGCAGAGGGUGGCAGAUGCAUGGGACGGUUGGGUUCAGUUUCCUGAACCACAGGAAGCAAAGAGCAGUUGCACGCAGUGAGCUGCAGCAGGUCUGCCUCUGCUGCCUUGGAUAACAAAACUGUCCCUUCUCCAGAUGCUUCAAGGCUCUGCCAGGUCUUCGGUUUCUAAAAGGUUAGGAAGGAGGCAGGGCUUCCCAAAGGCUGACUCUGAUGGGCCAGAGAGCAUUCAAGUCAUAUAAAAACAAACAAGCAAACAAAGGUUGCACCCACCUUAGUCCCAGCGCUCAGGAGGCAGAGGCAGGUGGAUCUCUGAGUUUGAGGCCAGUCUGCUCUGCAGAGCGAGUUCCAGGACAGCCAGGGCUACACUGGGAAACCCUGUCUUGAGAAAACCAAAAACGAAAGAUUAGGAAGGAAAUCCUAUUUUCCUGUCACUGCUACCCUUGGCCAUCAGCAAUCUUGGCCUGACAAGGAAUUAGACCCACUAAUGACAUACCUCAAGUUGGGCUCCGUCUGGUUGUAACAAGUGCUUGUGGUAACAGCCCGUCUUGGGAACUCUGGGCCAGCACAUCGGUCUCUUGGCCACGGCCCAUGUGGAAAAUCAAUUUCCCCUAAAUGUUUGAAGAAUGACAGAGGAGAGGCUGAUGUCUUUUCCCUCUGCUGGAGUCCAUGUGGAGACAGGGAACUUAUAAGAUGAAUGAAAGAAACUAAGCAAAGGCCCAGUGUACAAUUUCUUAAUUCUAGCACCCUCUCUCCUCUCUCUCUCUCUCUCUCUCUCUCUCUCUCUCUCUCUCUCUCGUCCUAACGCCAGAGACAAUAUACAUUUAUACAUUUGCGUCCCAUAGUGAUGUGCUGUGAAAACGUCCCAGAACAGAAAACAUUUGAUUUGAACCCAGCAAUUCCACUUCUCGGAAUCUCCCACAGAAAACUCCCAGGAGGACUGGAGAGUAUGCGAACAGUGUUUCCUCAGAGACCUGUGUGGGAAGCUGAGAAGUUGAAGGCCGGAUGGAGAUCUGACAUGAAGGGGCUGGGCAAGCAAGCGACAAUCUGCUCAUUAAAAAAGAUGCUCUUCUGGGGUUGGGGAUUUAGCUCAGUGGUAGAGCACUUGCCUAGGAAGCUCAAGGCCCUGGGUUCGGUCCCCAGCUCUGAAAAAAAGAACCAAAAAAAAAAAAAUGCUCUUCAUUGAAGGCAGUGGGAUGGAAAGGUCGUCCUGAUACAGCAAUGGGCCAGGCUGGCUGGCCAGUGACCCGGGGAUCUGCUGUCUCUGAUCCCCAGAAGCUGGGGUUACAGACGAUGCCACACUUUUUAUGGUGAUGAACUCAGACCCUUGUGUGCACAAGACAAGCACGUUACCAACUGAGCCAUCUCCUAGGGUCUGUGGCGCCAUUUUUUUUUUUAUUUUAAAAAUUAUUGUUGUGCUGUUAUUAUUAUUACUUGUGUGUAUGGGUGAAGGGGUGUGUGUGUGUGUGUGUGUGCGCGCGCGCGCGCGCGCACGCCAUGGCAUAUAUAUGGAGAUGAGAGGAUAAUUCAUCGUCGUUUUUCAGGGUUGAUUGCCUCCUUCCACCAUGAUUUCCAGGGACUGCACUCUGGUUAUCCGGCUUGUGACACAAGUGUUUUUAUCCACUGAUCCACACUGACUGAACCCAUGUCGUCAUUUCUGAGGCUGUCUGGGAUGAACCUCCUUUCCACACAGGCCAAUAAAUCAGUCUAGUCACCGAUGUGAACAGGCUACACAGCCCAGACAUCUCCUUCUAGACCCUUCUCCUAGCUCCCUGGAAGCCAGUAUUCUGCUAGCCGCCUUCAGAUGAAGAUGUAGAACUCUCACCUCCUCCUGCACCAUGCCUGCCUGGAUGCUGCCAUGUUCCUGUCUUGAUGAUAAUGGAUUGAACCUCUGAACCUUAGCAAGAUACCGUGUGGCGUUGCAAGGUGUCCUACCGGCAGUGAGGCAGUGAUUCGUUUGCAAGCAGCCCAGGAGGCUAAUUCACCCUUGACCUACCCACGCGGGAAUGUAACAACCUGCAGCUGAGCCACGGGAGUUCUGAGGAGAGGGAAGGUUCUUUAACAUUUGCCCUUGGGGCUGUUUGGGUUAGACACCAUUAAGGCCUUCUGCUCGGAGCUGGGAGAGCUGAGAUAAGUAGUUCUAUCUCUCUGAGCCUUGGCUCCUCCAUGUGCAAGAGCAGAGACCGCCCACCACCUCCCAUGCCCCGCCUACCUCCCCCACCUCCACCCCCAUCCCACAAGGGAGAUAGCGGGAUGCUCCGAGACCAUCUGCCAUCCCAGGAAUGCAGAGUUAAGCUUAAGAUUCAGUCCAGUCCCUUCCUGCCUUCCUAUCACAGCAAGCUGCUGCGUGUGGUUGGGGCCGUUUAUGGGGAUCUGAGAAGCUAAAUGGCCAGCGGUCUGUUGAACUGUGGCUGUGUCUUUUUUAGCACUGGGCUUUUUUGGAUAAAGCAAAGGCCCAGAGGGUGACUAGAUGGCUCCGUGGAUAAAGCACUUGCUCCACAAGCAAAAGGACCCGAGUUCAAUUCCCAGCAUCCAUGAAGAGAAAGUUGGGCGUUGCUGAAAUCCCAGCACUGAGAAGGCGCCUACAGGAACGACCACCUGCUCUGCAAAUCUGCCUCGUUGUUCCUCGAGAGGCUGUUGGCGACAGAAAGCCUGAAGAAUCAGCCUGGGGCUCCCAAGCGUGGUGCUUGGCCUGGAUGAAAGUGCCUAGAAGUGCUGACUCUCAAGCCAGCAGACUCUGCACACUAUAGGCUACACUGCACUAUACACCGAGCCCCGCACCCAGCCCUUCGGCUUCAGCAAAAUCACAAUUAGUGGAAUGGAACCCAUGAGAUUGGCGAUGUUAGAAAUUCAGAGGAGAAAAAUGGCUCUUGGCACCAUUGGCAAACACAUGGAGGUCUAUGCCUGGACGACGAGGGGAACGCACGUCUCUCGGAGUUCCCGCCUGCGGUGCGAAUAGAAUGUUCCCGUUCAGAAGUGGAACUACUCACCUGGAUCCGACGCGGGUGACAUGGCACCCGGAGGCUUUAAAAAAAAAAUCUCGGUCCCUAAUGAGAAACAGCCGCGUGCGGAAUAAAAUUAGUGUGCGUUGUGUAAUCCCAGCUGGCCAGUUGCAAGAACGGGGAGGAGGCAGGCGCUGAGGGAACAGGCCCUGGAGCCCAUCCUGACCCUCUGGGUUGGAAUUUCUGAGUCUCUUCUUUGCCUUGAGUCAAAAUAGGAAACCGAACCCUGACCGCGUGCUUCUUUUUAUAGAAUCGAACUUUCUUGCCAGCUUCCUUCGGAGCGCAAGAUCGUCCCUCUUGGUCUCUAAACAAUACGCCAAUCAUCAGAUGUUGGGAAAUCGUCUCUGAAUUUUCUCUCUUUCUCCCACUUCUUCUGACUUGGAUCUCGGCGUUCCGUCAGCGUUCUGCCUCGGUAUUGGCCAAGUUCACGUUUGCCAGUUGCCGAGUGGAUAAUAGAUGGUUUGUAAGAUUCGUAAUCUGUUGGGGAGACGGAGACACGAACAAUCGGGCAGUCUUUGCCUGUGUGAUAAAAAUGAUGCUCAUGAGUCUCUGCUUGACCCCGGAGGCCAGACUCGUGCUGAAGGACAAUGGGAACCAAGUGACUUAAUGCCCAGUCAGUCAUUGCUUGAGCCUCUCUGAGCAGACAGCCCACAGGACCCCCUGGUAAUCAGUUCAGAGUUAAUUCUUGCUUGUGGGGAAGACUGGAGUCUGCUGGCCCAAAGGAGACCAAAACCAGGGUGUGAAGUCACUGGUUUAAAAUAAAAGGGGGAAAAAAAAGAA